UAUCUCUGCAAACAUUAAGUUGUUUUUGAGAUUUCCUUCUUCAGAACUGCAACAUUUUUUUUUACGAUGUUGCGCAAAGAAUUUUUCAGAGUUUCAAAUUUGUCAGUGUUCUCCCACUGUAUUUAGUUUGUUUUCCAGGUUUGAAACCUUGUAAAUGGUGAUCCGAAAACUGGUGUGCGAAUGUGUGAAAAAAAGUUUUGAAACUCUGAAAACAGAGUUUUGCAGGCUUGCAAAAUGGUUAAAAAAAAAUCUCUGCAAACAUAAUUUUGUUUUUGAGUUUUCCUUCUUCAGAAGUGCAACAAUCUUUUUUAAAAAAAGUUUUGAAACUCUGAAAACAGAGUUUUGCAGGCCUUGCAAAAAUGGUUAAAAAAAAAUCUCUGCAAACAUAAUUUUGUUUUUGAGUUUUCCUUCUUCAGAAGUGCAACAAUCUUUUUUACAGUGUUGUGCAAUCAUUUUUUCAGAGUUUCGAAUUUGUCACUGUUCUCCCAGUGUGUAGUUUGUUUUCCAGAUUUGAAACCUUGUAAAUAGUGAUCUGAAAACUGGUGUGCGAAUAGGUGAAAAAAAGUUUUGAAACUCUGAAAACUGAGGUUCGAAAGGGCGAAACUUAUUACAUUACAUUACAUUUGCACUCCUAUUGCAGACUAUUUUUUCAGAGCCGAGUUUACAACACCCACUUUGCAGAGAUACGCCUACACAGUUGCGAGCUUGCGACUCACGUGAUUUGUGGCAGCGUUGUCACGCAGCUCUGUUCUGAAACUCUGAAACUCAGACUGAGCGAAAAUGAAGCUUCGCAACCUCGCAACUUAAAAAAAAAAGGCUGGGGGGAGGGCCUUCUGCUCUUGGCCAAUGCUUUGCUGUCUGCUGACGUACAGUCCAAUCACAAGUCGUAUUUACUGGAAAGGUGGGAUCGGUCCCGUCUAGAGCUGCAAGAACCGCGUCCAUGGCUGGGAGAGAGGAGGAAUAUACUGCAAUAGCUGAUGCUGCACAGUCGCUAAUAUCAUUGAUUUCGAGAAGACAGCAACAACCCGAAGGCAGUGGUCAAGGAGGAAGAGGGCAACCACCUCGAAGGUUGCAGUCAGAUGGACACAACACCCCAAGUACAUCAGUUGGAACAAGUCAGCUACCGACGAUCCAAAAUGAAAUGCAGAGGUCAUUUCCAGGUUAUUUUCGUCGUGAAAUGAUUCGCUCCAAGAAACGCCCUGCUGCUCUAUCCAAAAUAUCUCCAGCGAUAGCCAUAAAAUAUGUCAGGCUUCAGUUUUUGUUGCUGUCUAGUCCGACUGAUCGCACACCAAAGCCAUCUGAAGAAAUCAAACUCCUCGAGGCAGGCUUGGGGAAAAGAACCAUGACAGUGGCUGAUAACUCUUGCCAUGAGGAGGUAAUCUAGAUUUGAUGUGUUUUUGUUGCGUCACAAGUGUUUAACUCUUCUAUUCUAACAUCAAUUUGCAAUUUGCUAAUCACUAUUUCAGUUAAAUGGUUAUUGCUUCAUUAUAACCUUUUUAAAGACCCCCUACACUCACGUUAAAAUUCUGCUGUGGUUAAUAUUUGUUUUACAUGGUUUUCCCACAUACAGUGUUCUAAAAACUUCUGAAAAGGGUCUGGAAGCACAUCUACUCUUUCUCCCUCAUUUAGAAAUUCUGGAUCUAUGAAUUUUCAAAUAUGUAAAUAGAACCACUGCUUGCAUGGGACUUGUGACAAAACUUGUACACAUACAAGUAUAUUCUAAUGUUGUUGUUAUUAAUGCAGAUCCAAGGUACAUAAAAAGUUUAGUUUCAAGUCUCAAGGUGUGAGAAAAAAGGAAAACAAGAAAAGUCUGUGCUUGCUGCAACUUAAAAAAGUAGAUAGUAGAGGUAUUUUAAGCAAUAUUUGAUGUAGUAGAUAAGUACUUGAAGUAGAUCUGGAACAAGUAGUAGCACAAAGGUUCUCAGUACUUGAGGCAGUGCUGUAAGUAGUAGUAGUAUAAUGGGUUAAAAUACUUAAAGUAAAGGAACAAAUUUAAUUGUUUAAUUGACAGGGACAAAUGCAUGACACAUUGCUUCAUAAUACAGGCAACUUAAUUCAGAAAUGGUUGAAUGAAGUCUUCAUGUUGUAGUUCGCUUAAACAGUGUAAAAGUAGUUGGGUAACGAAAUUUAGAUGGAAGAAUAAUAUAGAAAUAAUUCUUGCUUUGAUAAAGUAAGGGCGCUAUAUAUACAAACCUUUUGAGUGAUUCAUGCAACAGUUUAAGUGCAGUUGCAUAUUUAAUUAAAUUUACUCUUACACUAAGCAUCACUGCUUUUCAUGUGAAAUCUUUGUUUAGAUUGUCUGUCAACUUGAAGAGCAGUACCCCAAGUUGAAGCAGUUGUCCGGAGGCUGGCUAUGUUAUAAAUCAACAGGUCAGUUAUAGUGAGUGUAGGAUAAGGAAACCUGCUGGAGCUUUUAACCCACUGAAUGAAUUUGAAGUCAUGCUUUAGAACAACCAGUUUUGGACAUGAAGCAUAGUCUCCCCAGUGUUUUAUCUGCAAGUUUAAACAGUUAUGGUGGUUUGUGUUUGAUACUGUUUUUUAAUAGUAUUUGUCUUGUAUAGUAAAUACUUUAUUAGUAAAGCAAUGUUAUUUGGCAUCUCAUAGUUGUAAAAACAGUAAAGUAAGUUAUUAUGUAUUUGCUUUGUGUAUUUUUUGAUUACAAGGUGGUCAAGGACAGAGAAAAUUGAUAGUUGUCGCUACAGAGUCUGAGGGCUACACUGGACGACUCCUUAAAACGGUCACAAAUAAUGGCAAACUAAUUCUGUACAUUGUCCCACUACAAGAGGAGCUAGAUGCAAGCCCCCUCCCCCACAAUGCUCCAGAAUUUUCCAAAAUGCCAAAAUCCUCAUGCAAAAACUGUGGAGUUGUUAUGCCUUUACAGUUCCUGGCUCUGCACAUCAAAUCUUGUAAUGCUGAAAUUGUAAGUAACACUCACAUUAUUCAGUAUGUUAAAGAAUGAAGUGUGGUUCAUUACCUUUCAAAUUCCACUUCAGAAUCUUUUUUUGUCUGUUCCAAACCCAAACCUUCUACCUAAAAUGAAUUUUGUUUCCCAAUUCACAGAGCAGUGAUGAGCCUGAAAUUGUCAGUAUUGAAGAGAAAGAAGUCAAUACUACAGUUGAGUAUUACAUUUUUUCAAUAUACCCAACUUCUGAAUGUCUUUCGAGAUGUAAUUACAAUGUUUUUAAUGUAUUUAGUUUAUUUAAAACAUAAUAAUAAUACUUAAAAUUAAUAAUAAAAAUCUGUACAUUUCUCUGUUUCUGUAUUUAGGAAGUAUGCCCAAUAUGUGAAAACCAAUUUCCCAGAGAGGAUAUUGCAUACCAUGCCAGCUUUUGUGGAGAUGGGUAUUAAUCAAUUUGCAUUCAUCAUGUCUUACAUUUCACUAACGUGAUGUUUUUACAGUUUUAAUUACAAUUGAGGUUCUCAUGGUAUAUCUAAACAUGUUUAGAUUUCCAGCAGACACCUUGAUGCCAUUACUUGAAGAUGAUGCCAGAGAGGGGACUUCAAGCACAAUUGAUCUCUUGCCUCAUGGUUCCAGGACUACAGAACAAAGCACCAGUCCCACAUUCAUCAUGUCUUACAUUUCACUAACGUGAUGUUUUUACAGUUUUAAUUACAAUUGAGGUUCUCAUGGUAUAUCUAAACAUGUUUAGAUUUCCAGCAGACACCUUGAUGCCAUUACUUGAAGAUGAUGCCAGAGAGGGGACUUCAAGCACAAUUGAUCUCUUGCCUCAUGGUUCCAGGACUACAGAACAAAGCACCAGUCCCACUGGUGUAGUCAAUGACAUGGCCGGACCAUCAACUAUGCUUGCUGAUCCCACUGUCCCAGGUGCCAGUCAAGAGCAUAAGCUUUUAACAGAGCUCACAAACACAAGAAUAUAUUUAGUUUUAUUCUGCAUUAUAUUCCUAUUGUUUCUGUGCUUUCUUCCUGUGUU
rnacentral:lncRNA from 1 species